rnacentral:lncRNA from 10 species
ACCUGUUUCCGAGCGGAGAGCGCGGGCCGUUUUCUUUCCUGGUGUCCCGUCGCGGCUUGGGACCCGGCAAGAUGGGCAAGAAGGGCAAGAAGGAGAAGAAGGGCCGCGGCGCGGAGAAGACGGCCGCCAAGAUGGAGAAGAAGGUGUCUAAGCGCUCGCGGAAGGAGGAGAGGGCAAAUAAUCAUCACAGCAGCCCUGAGCAGUGAGCAGCAGAUGGUUAAGUGAAGAAGGCACUGGAGCCACGGGGUAUCCCGUAGCAGCUGAUGGCGGCCAUCACGGUUGUCUCCUUCCCUCUGGUCCUCAGCCCGGGGUCUGCAGGAGGAUCCGUCCUGACCUUGGGGUUGAGUGUUCUGCGGCUGCUGCUCAUGGAUUCCCUAACCGGGGCCAGUUUUAUGGCCUGCCGUGCGCCAGGCACAGCUCCCUGGGCUUUACUCCUCACGAGCAGGAAGACCUGGAAGCGCUCAUAGCCCAUUUCCAGACACUCGAUGCCAAGAGGACUCAGACUGUGGAACUUCCGUGCCCCCCACC